CCUUUGAGUAAGUGAAAUGAAGCGUGAAUAACUGCCUAAUUAGUGGACAUGAAAACUGGACAGUCUCCAAAGUCAUCAGAGAUGACCACGCUUGCCAGGCAACUUACUAGACUAAGUUGGGGCCACUCCAAUAUAACAACACUCAGGAAUCACCUCCCACUACUGCUGGGGCAGGCGGUGGGAACAGAUGUAGAGAGGGCACACAAUGAGCCUCACGUAAGCAUCAGGUACUACAUUUAGGAAGAGAGAUGGUGUGAGGAUGCAGUGGCCAGAAGAGGCAGCCCAGGGAAGAUCUGAGGUGAACCCUCUGGUUGGAAAGCCUUGGCAAAUUGGAGGAAUGAAAAGAAAAAAGAGUAAAUCUACAACAAGGAUCAGCAAACUCCAGUCUACAGGCCAAAUCCAGCCUGCUGCCUGGUGACGUGCCCAUCAUGCAGGAAGCUUCUCCAAGGCUGGCGAGAGCAACUUGUCUGCUUUGAGAAAUGCAGAUCUAUCAGGAUCCAGAAUCGGACUCUGAAAAAGCUGUCAUUUCAUGUCUCUAAAACAGCCUUUGAUUUAAUGUACAAGAUGUCAAGAAGUAAAGGACAAUAAAAUAAAAACCAAAAAAGGAGAACUAUUUCAAUUAAGAAGCAUUCCUAUAUCAAUUCUUGGAAAUCACAUAAAAUAAAAGCUGUCAGAAUCA
rnacentral:lncRNA from 10 species